AACUAAUGAUGUUUCUGCACGUUUAGCAGGUUGUCUACUAAAAGUUGGAGUUUCUACAGGUGGCUGUGCCGGUGCAUUACUUGAGUUAUGAACAGAACUAGUUGGUGUAUCAUUUAAAUCUGGUGCUUGGGUUUCAUCAUCAUCAUUAUCAUCCUCAUUUUCCUCUAAGAUAGGUUCAUUAGGAUAAAGAGCAUUCAUAAUUUCAUCAUCUAAUCUAUCACCUAC
rnacentral:lncRNA from 1 species